rnacentral:rRNA from 1 species
AGUGAACGCUGGCGGUAGGCCUAACACAUGCAAGUCGAACGGCAGCACAGUAAGAGCUUGCUCUUACGGGUGGCGAGUGGCGGACGGGUGAGGAAUACAUCGGAAUCUACUUUUUCGUGGGGGAUAACGUAGGGAAACUUACGCUAAUACCGCAUACGACCUACGGGUGAAAGCAGGGGAUCUUCGGACCUUGCGCGAUUGAAUGAGCCGAUGUCGGAUUAGCUAGUUGGCGGGGUAAAGGCCCACCAAGGCGACGAUCCGUAGCUGGUCUGAGAGGAUGAUCAGCCACACUGGAACUGAGACACGGUCCAGACUCCUACGGGAGGCAGCAGUGGGGAAUGUUGGACAAUGGGCGCAAGCCUGAUCCAGCCAUACCGCGUGGGUGAAGAAGGCCUUCGGGUUGUAAAGCCCUUUUAUUGGGAAAGAAAAGCAGCAGGUUAAUACCCCGCUGUUCUGACGGUACCCAAAGAAUAAGCACCGGCUAACUUCGUG